ACGGCGAGUGAAGCGGUAACAGCUCAAAUUUGAAAUCUGGCCUCACGGUCCGAGUUGUAAUUUGUAGAGGAUGCUUCGAGCAUGGUCUGGCCUAAGUUCCUUGGAACAGGACGUCAUAGAGGGUGAGAAUCCCGUAUGCGGCCAGGUGCCUACGCUCAUGUGAAGCUCCUUCGACGAGUCGAGUUGUUUGGGAAUGCAGCUCAAAAUGGGUGGUAAAUUUCAUCUAAAGCUAAAUAUUGGCCAGAGACCGAUAGCGCACAAGUAGAGUGAUCGAAAGAUGAAAAGCACUUUGGAAAGAGAGUUAAACAGUACGUGAAAUUGUUGAAAGGGAAGCGCUUGCAACCAGACUUGCGCGCGGCCGAUCAUCCGGUGUUCUCACCGGUGCACUCGGCCGUGCUCAGGCCAGCAUCGGUUUUGGCGGCUGGAUAAAGGCCCUAGGAAUGUAGCUCCUCUCGGGGAGUGUUAUAGCCUAGGGUGCAAUGCAGCCUGCUGGGACCGAGGACCGCGCUUCGGCUAGGAUGCUGGCGUAAUGGUUGUAAGCGGCCCGUCUUGAAACACGGACCAAGGAGUCUAACAUCUAUGCGAGUGUUUGGGUGUCAAACCCAUACGCGUAAUGAAAGUGAACGGAGGUGAGAACCCUUAAGGGUGCAUCAUCGACCGGUCCUGAAGUUUACGGAAGGAUCUGAGUAAGAGCAUAGCUGUUGGGACCCGAAAGAUGGUGAACUAUGCCUGAAUAGGGUGAAGCCAGAGGAAACUCUGGUGGAGGCUCGCAGCGGUUCUGACGUGCAAAUCGAUCGUCAAAUUUGGGUAUAGG
rnacentral:rRNA from 1 species